CCGACACGACCGUACCGCAAACCGACACUGGUGCGCGAGAUGAGUAUUCUCAGGCGCUUGAGAGAACUCGGGAGAAGGAACUCGGCAAAUUGACACCGUAACUUCGGAAGAAGGUGUGCCUUUAGUAGGUGAACCAUUUACUUGGGGAGCCCAAUGAGGUUGCAAAAAAUCGGUGGCUGCGACUGUUUAAUAAAAACACAGCACUCUGCAAACACGAAAGUGGACGUAUAGGGUGUGACGCCUGCCCGGUGCUGGAAGAUUAAGUGAUGGGGUGCAAGCUCUUGAUCGAAGUCCCAGUAAACGGCGGCCGUAACAAUAACGGUCCUAAGGUAGCGAAAUUCCUUGUCGGGUAAGUUCCGACCUGCACGAAUGGCGUAACGAUGGCCACACUGUCUCCUCCCGAGACUCAGCGAAGUUGAAAUGUUUGUGAUGAUGCAAUCUCCCCGCGGAAAGACGGAAAGACCCCAUGAACCUUUACUGUAGCUUUGUAUUGGACUUUGAACGGAUCUGUGUAGGAUAGGUGGGAGGCUUUGAAGCAGGGUCGCUAGAUCUUGUGGAGCCAACGUUGAAAUACCACCCUGGUGCGUUUGAGGUUCUAACCUAGGCCCGUUAUCCGGGCCGGGGACAGUGCAUGGUAGGCAGUUUGACUGGGGCGGUCUCCUCCCAAAGUGUAACGGAGGAGUUCGAAGGUACGCUAGUUACGGUCGGACAUCGUGACGAUAGUGCAAUGGCAUAAGCGUGCUUAACUGCGAGACUGACAAGUCGAGCAGAUGCGAAAGCAGGACAUAGUGAUCCGGUGGUUCUGUAUGGAAGGGCCAUCGCUCAACGGAUAAAAGGUACUCUGGGGAUAACAGGCUGAUACCGCCCAAGAGUUCAUAUCGACGGCGGUGUUUGGCACCUCGAUGUCGGCUCAUCUCAUCCUGGGGCUGUAGCCGGUCCCAAGGGUAUGGCUGUUCGCCAUUUAAAGAGGUACGUGAGCUGGGUUUAAAACGUCGUGAGACAGUUUGGUCCCUAUCUUCCGUGGGCGCUGCAGAUUUGAGGAAGCCUGCUCCUAGUACGAGAGGACCGGAGUGGACGCACCUCUGGUGUACCUGUUGUCACGCCAGUGGCAUUGCAGGGUAGCUAAGUGCGGAAGAGAUAACCGCUGAAAGCAUCUAAGCGGGAAACUCGUUUCAAGAUGAGAUCUGCCGGGGCCUUGAGCCCCCUGAAGAGUCGUUCUAGACCAGGACGUUGAUAGGUCAGGUGUGGAAGCGCAGUAAUGCGUUAAGCUAACUGAUACUAAUUGCUCGUGCGGCUUGAUC
rnacentral:rRNA from 1 species